rnacentral:rRNA from 1 species
UGGGGAAUAUUGCACAAUGGGCGCAAGCCUGAUGCAGCCAUGCCGCGUGUAUGAAGAAGGCCUUCGGGUUGUAAAGUACUUUCAGCGGGGAGGAAGGGAGUAAAGUUAAUACCUUUGCUCAUUGACGUUACCCGCAGAAGAAGCACCGGGUAACUCCGUGCCAGCAGCCGCGGUAAUACGGAGGGUGCAAGCGUUAAUCGGAAUUACUGGGCGUAAAGCGCACGCAGGCGGUUUGUUAAGUCAGAUGUGAAAUCCUCGGGCUCAACCUGGGAACUGCAUCUGAUACUGGCAAGCUUGAGUCUCGUAGAGGGGGGUAGAAUUCCAGGUGUAGCGGUGAAAUGCGUAGAGAUCUGGAGGAAUACCGGUGGCGAAGGCGGCCCCCUGGACGAAGACUGACGCUCAGGUGCGAAAGCGUGGGGAGCAAACAGG